rnacentral:rRNA from 1 species
GGCCGCAAGGUUAAAACUCAAAUGAAUUGACGGGGGCCCGCACAAGCGGUGGAGCANGUGGUUUAAUUAGAUGCAACGCGAAGNACCUUACCUGGUCUUNACAUCCACAGAANUUUCCAGAGAUGGNUUGGNGCNUUCGGGAACUGUGAGACAGGUGUUGCAUGGCUGUCGUCANCUCGUGUUGUGAAAUUUUGGGUUAAGUCGCGCANCGAGCGCAACCNUUAUCNUUUGUUNCCAGCGNUUAGGCCGGGAACUCAAAGGAGACUNCCAGUGAUAAACUGGAGGAAGGUGGGGAUGACGUCAAGUCAUCAUGGCCCUUACGACCAGGGCUACACACGUGUUACAAUGGCGCAUACAAAGAGAAGCGACCUCGNGAGAGCAAGCGGACCUCAUAAAGUGCGUCGUAGUCCGGAUUGGAGUCUGCAACUNGNCUCCAUGAAGUNGGAAUCGCUAGUAAUNGUAGAUCAGAAUGCUACGGUGAAUACGUUCCCGGGCCUUGUACACACCGCCCGUCACACCAUGGGAGUGGGUUGCAAAAGAAGUAGGUAGCUUAACCUUCGGGAGGGCGC